ACUUAAAUUUAAAAACAGGGAAAUACAAAAUUGUGUAUAAAAUUGUAUUGCGAGUUAUUUUAGGACAAAGGAAGUAUGUACUAACAACAAACAUCAUCAAGUAUUAAUCGGUGCUCUUCCGGAAAAUGAAAAUUCGGUGCUAGCAUGCGUGCAGCUUCUGGCCGGUACAAGACCAAUCUCAUUCCAUUUCAUUAAAGAAAAGCACUGACCGCCCACUGCGUGCCUUAUCUCAUCGCCACUCCUCUCCUUCUUUUAUCCAGAUCGCCAAUUCCUCCGCUCAUCCUAAUCCAGCGCUGGUCCUCUUCUUCUUCUCCAUCCAAUCUAGCCAAGAGCUGCACGUGCGCGGGGCCGUGGUGGCUGGCCAGCGCAGCACCCCCUAAUCGGCGAUGAACCAGAGACCGCCUAGGCUGGCACCUUGGAGCUCCUCUGCCUCGUCCUGAUCUGGCCGUUCGCCCCAGUCGUCGGCCCCGUGCUUCGGAUCAGGCCAGAAGCCUUGCCUACGACCUGAUUCAGACUGCGUAGCCUUCGCCACCUGCGCCAUGCCCCAGAGCCAGGGCACUCUCCCUCUCCCACCUCCGUUCGCCGCAGGUGAGUGCGCGGCUGUUAGAAAUAAACCGUGAUGGGUAUGCACCCAGAGUACGUGUGUGCGUGUGUGUCACGAUGGUGUACGUGCGUGUGCGUGCAGUCGUGGCCAUGGCGAGUUGGUUAGUCCAGCGCGUAGUGUUUAGUCCAGGUGGUUAGUUGGUUAGCUAGCUUCAUGGCAUGAUAGGAUAGUCAUGCAUGUAGUUAGUUAGCUGGAUAAGUUGUUAGCUGGCCGGAUAGACUUCAUGGUUAGUUAGCAUGCAUCAUAAUAGAGGAGGUGGCGUGUGUGCCAGCCUAUAAAUAGAGGCCGAUCUGAGUUGGUUGCAUGUACGUGGUACGUGCCACAGUUUGAACUGGAGAAAAACGCUGUUCGUCAGCGAGGCGUUUGUCGCCGCAAAACA